GCUCACUUUACAACGAGGUGCUCACAUCCUUUUUGGUCUCCGGAUUUACAUUGUGUGGAUCAUGAUGCCAUUGUGUCUGCUAGUGAGACCACUGUGAGACAGCACACAGGAACAUCCGGUACAGUCAGCCAGAUCUUGCUGCUAGGGCGACAGCCUUAAGAGUUCUGCCCAGUGUCGAUCCAGAAGGAAGCGGCUGUUGGAAGCGAGGCAGAGAGUACUGGCAGAAGAUGAAGUGGAACAUGUGGAAAGUCU